AACGAACGCUGGCGGCAUGCCUAACACAUGCAAGUCGAACGAGACCUUCGGGUCUAGUGGCGCACGGGUGCGUAACGCGUGGGAACCUGCCCUUAGGUUCGGAAUAACUCCCCGAAAGGGGUGCUAAUACCGGAUAAUGUCUUCGGACCAAAGAUUUAUCGCCUUUGGAUGGGCCCGCGUUGGAUUAGCUAGUUGGUAGGGUAAAAGCCUACCAAGGCGACGAUCCAUAGCUGGUCUGAGAGGAUGAUCAGCCACACUGGGACUGAGACACGGCCCAGACCCCUCGGGGAGGCAGAAGGGGGGAAGAUGGAACAAGGGGCGAAAGCUGAACCCAGCAAGGCCGGGGGAGUGAUGAAGGCCUUAGGGUUGAAAAGCUCUUUACCCCGGGAUGAUAAGAAAGGUCCCGGGAAAAAAAGCUCCGGCAAACUCCGU
rnacentral:rRNA from 1 species